GGACGCGCCUGCGCGCCAGGGUCCGCAGGGACGUCGUGCUCGCUGGCUCUUGAGGCUGCAGGUCGUUGCCUGGGCAACCCAGGGACUCCGAGAGAAGUGUUGCUCCAUCAUCAUACACAUCAACUUGUAGCUAUGCACCUGUUUCUUUGCCUCUUCCUUGUGGAAGAACAGCUGGUCGGUUGGCCAGAGUUUCUCAUCAAGGAGUGCAUGCUGUUUGCUCCCCAGAUGGACAGCCUGGACGAGCCAAAUCCGUGGAGCCUGGGACACGAGAGCACAUCUUGAGGGAGCCUUACUUACCCAGGGAGCAUAAAUAGUGGAAGAGAGAUUUGAGAACUGAAGGAAAGAUUUGGAAGAACAGUCAGCCCUCAGUGAAGCUGCAAAGAUGGCCGUGUGGUCAGCAUCUCCCAUACAGCACCCCCUCCCCACAAUUGUUUUCUCCUUUGGCAGGCUGUUCUCAACUUAUCUGUCCUUUCCUGGAGACCCCUGUUGCUAAUAAAAAAGAAAACCCA
rnacentral:lncRNA from 1 species